rnacentral:lncRNA from 1 species
AGGCAUACAUGCAGGAUUAUGCAAUGCACAAUUUCAAGUAAACUUGAUACUGGCCUAUCAGGAACAAAUUAAAACUAAAACUUGUAAUCCCAUACAACAUGGUUUGCAUACAUAACUUCACACUAUUUGCAUGCAAGUGCAGCAGCAGACAUAAUUAAGACCUAACAAUUUUCAUCACUUUAAAAACAUCGUCAUGAAAAUAUUAUUUAGAAUAAUCCAGUAGAAUAAUACUCAUAUUUCUAAUCUAGAUAGUUAAACAUCAUGAUUGUCAAAUUUUGAUAUUGUGGAUUCUAGAAUGUCAAAUUUAAAAGGACAUAUGAUAUUAGAAAUUAGAAAGUCCAUCAGUCCAUGACUGCUGCUGGGUCAAGCCCCACAUUAUUUUACAGGCUGAAUAUGAGAAACUACAUAAAGCCCCAGCUUAUAUGUAACAUCAGAUCAACUUAUAUAGAAUUAAAACCAAUCUGAAUAACCAGCUUGCCUUGGCACAAGGCAUAAGAAAAACAAAAGAAUAACCAGCCAACCUUGGUCCAAAAGAAAAACAGAAUAACCAACAGACCAUGCAAGUGUUAAUCAUCCAUGCUCUUCAAAUAGCUGGUCUACUUAGCCAGUGAAACCAUUUACUCAGCUGACUGUUCUGAAAAUUAAUGCCUUUAUUCCCAAAACCCAGAGUAUAUUAAGGCUGUGUUUGAUACUUGGGGUUGGGAACCCAACUCCACCGCACGGAAAACGGAGCGAUCCAUUAGCGUGUGAUUAAUUAAGUAUUAGUUAAUUUUUUUUCAAAAAUGGAUUAAUUUGUUUUUUUAAAGCAACUUUCGUAUAGAAACUUUUUGUAAAAAACACACCAUUUAGCAGUUUGAAAAGCGUGCACGCGGAAAACGAGGGAAAGGGGUUGGGAAACUUGUGGAAAGAACGCAGCCUAAGACAUAUUUGUAUCUGGAGGAUAUUGGACAAGGGGUCACCAAGAAACUAAAGGAGUUCAAUAAGUUUGGACAACUUUUGGAACUGGAAUUUGAAUAAGCAGCUGCAAUAUUUGUUAGUUAGAGUGCUACUAAAGCAACAUAUUAUGGAGGAUUCUAGAGCACGCUAAAUAUUGCAAAUAAGAAAAUUUCCUGUAACUAGUAACUAGGAACAAGAUUCGGGAUGAAUCAAGCGACCCAGGAAUGGAAAUUAUUGGCAAAAACCAGCAAACCAAGAAUAGUUGCGAAGAGGUGCUAGCAUGAAUCUCUGCAUGACGCAAAGAGCAUGCCCUCACUUGUGAUGCACACCACACUCCCUUUCAGUCUAGAAGAGUGGCUUAGACAGAAGAUAGUCCAGCUCUUGCAUUCCUAGCACAGGAACCGCUACAACACAUAAGCCCUUUGCAUUCUCCACUUACAGGGGUCACAAGAGACCCUUCCAUCCUAGGUAAACAAGGCACUUCCGUGUUGAUAGUAGCGUAAUUUGGAGGACUGUUCUUUCCUGCAUUUUUACCUCACAUAAACAGUGAGACGUCCUUAGGGAGGGUUCUAAAGUGAUGAAACGUGGAAGUUGGAUGAUCAACUUGAUUAACAUGGUAAAUUAAUAUUUUGAGAAAUAAACUGAACAAAUAGGUUAACCAAUGAAGUAAAAAAACAUUUUUUUGAAAAAUCGUAUUUUUAGAAGCAUGGAGAAAAUAAGAUGGGCCUUCUACCAAAGCCAGGAAAUAGACUAACAUUGCUUUGCCUUGUAGUUAGCAAAGAUGAAAAGGGAUUUUAUGGCAGAAAGGACAAAAAAAAACUGGAUGGCAGAACCG